rnacentral:rRNA from 1 species
AUUGAACGCUGGCGGCAUGCUUUACACAUGCAAGUCGAACGGUAACAGGCCGCAAGGUGCUGACGAGUGGCGAACGGGUGAGUAAUGCAUCGGAACGUGCCCAGUCGUGGGGGAUAACUACUCGAAAGAGUAGCUAAUACCGCAUACGAUCUAUGGAUGAAAGCGGGGGACCGUAAGGCCUCGCGCGAUUGGAGCGGCCGAUGUCAGAUUAGGUAGUUGGUGGGGUAAAGGCUCACCAAGCCAACGAUCUGUAGCUGGUCUGAGAGGACGACCAGCCACACUGGGACUGAGACACGGCCCAGACUCCUACGGGAGGCAGCAGUGGGGAAUUUUGGACAAUGGGCGCAAGCCUGAUCCAGCAAUGCCGCGUGCAGGAAGAAGGCCUUCGGGUUGUAAACUGCUUUUGUACGGAACGAAACGGCUCUGGUUAAUACCCGGGGCUAAUGGCGGUACCGUAAGAAUAAGCACCGGCUAACUACGUG